rnacentral:lncRNA from 1 species
GGAGUAUCGCUGGGAGGAGAGUUGGUUCAUUUGGAGGAGGGAAUGCGACUCUGAGCGGGCCAAGCCCUAGUGGGUCAGAGUAGGAUUCUGAUGGAAUUUGCGGUCUCACCGCCUACUAGGGAGGAAAAGCAGUUUUCAGGAGUCCCGCACCGCCGCCAGCCGUGGGCUGGGACUACAAGUCACGGUCUGUGGAGUCCAGGAGUGGGGGCGGGCGGGAGGCAGGCUGGGAGCUGUAGUAGUGUCACCGCCACGUUCGCAGCAGGUAGAUGCUCAUCUUGCUAACGGAUUGGUGAGAGUGGACAGCAAUUAGGCUUUGGCACCUUGGAGCGUGGCUCCAGCUAAGGGAAGCGAAACGCUUCCUGGGUGAGAGGACUUUUAUUCUUUGCUCAUCCUCUUAAACCUGGCGAGUGAGCGCCUGAGGUUCGGAGUGCCUUCUUCACAGACGACGCGAAUGUGGGGUCUUCGUGUUUGCCGAACUGAAGGGAAUUUGCCUUCCUGCCUUUAGGUUCGCAGCAGUUCAUAACUGAAUAAGAGACUUUCCUCCAUAGAAUGGACUUUAUAAAUCUAUUAAUUUUUUUUUUUUUUUUUUUUUAGAGCUAAGGUCUUGCUCUAUCUCCCAUGCCAAAGUGCAGUGCUAUGAUCACGGCUCGCUGCAGCCUUGAACUCCUGGGCUCAAGGCAUCCUCCUGCCUCACUACGUCACCAAGCCCAGCUAAUACAUUUUAAAAAUUUAUUAUUUAUUUAUUUAUUUAUUUUUGGUAGAGAAGGGGGUCUCACCAGGUUGCCCAGGCUGAUCUCGAAUUCCUGUGCACUAGGGAUCCUCAGCUUCCGAAAGUGUUGGGAUUUUAGGCGUGAGCCACCGCGCCUAGCCUAUAAAUCUUUAUUCAUCUUUGUAAACUUCUAUCAGAGAAUAUAUUCUGGUCUAACUCAUCAUUUUACAAAUAAAGCGACUUCCUGACAUCCCCCAGCGUAUUCUUAGCAGAGCCGUAACUAGAAGUUAUUUUACUUUCACAACAGUGGCCUCUCACAAUGUGACAGAACUGAAGGAUUUGAUCCAUGAACUGACUUUCGUCAUUUAUACCCACAAACCUUUUUUUACAGAGCAGAUUGGUCAGCGAAUUUGGUUAUAAUAGGAAAUAUCAGUGGUAGAAUACUUUCUCAGAUGAAAGUUAGGAGCACUAUGGAAUUUAGUGAAAAACUCAUUGAAGAAAAUAGGUGUAGGCCGGGCGCGGUGGCUCACGCCUGUAAUCCCAGCACUUUGGGAGGCCGAGAUGGGAGGAUCACCUGAACCCGGGAGGCGGAGGUUGCAGUGAGCUGUGAUCACACCAUUGCACCCCAACCUGGGCGACGGGAGUGAGGCCCUGUCUCAAAAAAAAAAAAAAGAAAAGAAAAUAGGUGUAACAGGAUAUAGUUUAUUUACUUCUUCAAAAAAAGGAAAAUAUUUCUGUUAAAAUAAUCCAACUAAUACAUCCACUCC